GUAAGAGUACUGAAGUAUCAGCCACAAGAGAAUCUACAGAAUCGUCUCAGGCUGAAAAAGAUAUUGGAGCAUGCCAUGUCCUCUCAUCUCUGAUGAUUAAGAAGAAGCUAAACAGCAGGAAAUGAAGAGUUCUGGCAAUGUAUUACCAGUCACAACUCUGCAGAACUCCAACUAAUACUUUGAAGAAUAGCAGCAAUCCUGGAACCAGAUUUUCAAAACAGAUGUGCAUGAAAAUCUGAAGGUGGGAAAGAUGUAGCCCUCAUCCCUGAGCGGUGGUCCUCAGGGUAUGUCCUUUCAGAUAAAAAUAUCAACCUCAUCUCACAAAAAUGUAGUGUCUGACUCACCUUUUCCAUUGUCAAAGUCACCUCCUGGAGCUGUCCAAGACAAGACUAUUGUUUCGU